GCAAUCGACCACAGGGUACUAGAAAACAGGACUUCCCGUCUGCUCAGUCGUACUUAAGCUAUACCCCGGCCAGUCAGUACCACGGUGGGAGACCACGUGGGAAUCCUGGCUGUCGAUUGUU
rnacentral:rRNA from 1 species